AAAACAGAGGCCAUGUUGAGAAACUAACAAUUGUCGAGACACAAAUUAAAAACUGAAAAUGGGAAAAGAUAAAACAGUAAAUAAACGACAAAUACAAGUUGAUAGAGGGUGGUGCAGCUUGCUUGAUUUGUACAGAGCUUGGAACAAUCUACGUCUAUAGACUCGCCAAGAUCCACUUUUUUGAAGUAUCCCUUCUUUCCAAUGAUAAAAGCUAUGUUGCGAGUAGGGCGAGGUAUAUACCUGUCUUUAUCAAGUACCACAGCGACCUUCUUCUUCUCGUCAACGAAGAAACUCCCACCUCUAACCAGAAACUGAAAACCAAGACCGGUGAUUGGUUUCAUAUCAACCUUUAAGAACAACUUGUUCCACGAUACCGCAUUGGGCUCAAUCCUGCUACUAAUCCAUAUCUUCACCGUAUAACCACCACAUUGUUGAAAUAGCACCGCAAG